CUGCUGUGCUAGCAAUCAGUGAGACUCCCUGGGCAUAGGACCCUCCGAGCCAGGUGGGGGUUAUAAUCUCGUGGUGCGCCGUUUUUUAAGCCCGUCGGAAAAGCGCAGUAUUCCGGUUGGAGUGACCCGAUUUCCAGUGAGAUGAACCCGGUACCUCAGAUGGAAAUGCAGAAAUCACCCGUCUUCUGCGUCGCUCAAGCUGGGAGCUGUAGACCGGAGCUGUUCCUACUCGGCCAUCUUGGCUCCUCCCCGCCAAGAAUAUGACUGCAUUUGGAAAUAGGGACUUUAAAGAGGUGAUUAAGUUACAAUGAGGCCACUAGAGAAGACAAUUAUCCAUUUGGACUGAUGUGCUUAGAAGAAGAGCAUAUUGGUAAAAAGAGACACCAGAGGUACAACAGCACAGAGAAAGACCAUGUGAGGACAUAGUGAGAAGAUGGCCAUCCCAUCUGCAAGCCAAGGACAGAGGCCUCAGGAGAAACCAACCCUGAUGACACCUUGAUCUUGGACUUCACAGCCUCCAGAACUAACAUACUCAAGUGUCUCAGCUCAACAUUUGGAGAUGAGCCAUCCUCCUCUUAUUGUAAGAAAAGCUUGAAGGAGUAUUUUCACAGCGAUGGAACUGGAAGUUAAGGCAACUUCUAUCAGCAUCAAGAAAAGAAAAGAAGUAUUCACCACUUACGAAACAACAUCUCUCUUCUCAUCAAUAGUUUGAUUUACAGCAUCUACUGCAGAAGACCUCAAUAAUGCAUAAGAACAUCUGGAAGUACGGUAAUUUCAGCUAUCAGAGAUAAGAAUUGACACAGAACAGAACUGAAAGAGAACCUUUGAAACACCCUUUAGAUUAAGAGCCUGGCUUGUAAUCUGUAACAACAAACGGUAUUACAAUGAGAAAAAUUAGUUCUUUUGCUGUAUUUUGCCAGAAAAUUCCAAAAAAGUCAAAGAACUCAUUCCUCUAAACAUUAAAAUAAAUUAUUUUAACCCAAACUUGAAAAGCAUUCUUGUGUUUGGUGUAAGAAAGUAGGCUUUAAGUGUAACAGAGCAGAGCCAUGUUGCACAAU
rnacentral:lncRNA from 10 species